AAAUUAUUGAACAGGUUCGCGACAAGAAGAAAACACAUCGGCGGUAAUUCAACAUCCCACAAAAAGAGAGUAAACCCAUUAUAAGUUACUCAGACAAAGUCUACAACAGAUGAAUAGAGAGCGCGCUGUAAUGGAUAUAGUCAACUAAGUAUGUGGGCUUACAAGUUUCUUACCUCUCGGACAAAAUAUUCUCUCAUCGUUCCUAUUCUUCUCUGCAACUAAAGGAAAAUAGUAGGGCACAUUCCAUGAUGAAAUAAGUCUCUAUGCAACUAUACUGCAGUAUCAAUCAUCUUAAGCUUUAGGAGAGUUUUCUGGUGUCUUCAAAGAACCAGUUGUAGUACCUUUAUGUUCCACUACAGCAGCACGAAAAUCUUCCACGAUGGAGGCAUCCUUGAACUUCAGAGCAAUAGUAGAAAGUCCUUUUCCGUCAGCAGCACUAUUCAAGCAAGCGAAAGUGACCCCUCUUUUGUCCAUAUUAGCAAGCUUCAUUUCUGGAAAAAGGCUGGCAUUCAAGAUCAAUCUGUAAUUUCCUUUGGUCCUCAUAACAAGUCUACCUUUUCCUUCCCCUGUUGUAGAAACAUUGACCUUUAGUUCUCCCUUCCCCCGCUCUUUCCACCCUCCAUUAAGAUAUUCAAACAGCACGGAAUCAGCUGCGAAUACGGGUUUUUCAUUUUCCUCCCCUGUUUCAACAGUGACCUCUUCUUUGGAAGGAAAUCCAGUACCCUCACUCUUAUUCACAAGGGAUGACCCCGAGUUUCCAAACAGAGAAGUACUUCCAUUAGUAGGAAGAUUAAGUCCAAAUGGUGACUGGUCACUUUUUGCUCCAAAGAGAGAACCAGCACCUGAUUCAGAACCAAAACCUAGAGAAGAUCCCUCUUUUGAAAUACCUCCAAAGGAGAAAGUAGUGCUGGAGAACCCAGUCCCUGAAAAUCCUGUGAAAGCAUUUUGGCCACUUGAGAGUUGUUGGAAUGAGCUAAAAGAAGCAGUUUCUGCACCCUUCUCACUUUUCUCACCACCAGCAUCAUUUUGUUCUUCAUUCUUUGUUUUCUCGACUUCCACAUCCUUCUUACUGUCAUUUUCGCUCUUCUCAACUACUGUGCCUUCCUUGGUUUCAGCCUGGACUUUCUCAUCAUCUGCUACCUUCUCUUCAGCAGAUUCAGGUUUGUCAGCCUCAUUAGGAGUUUCAACUUUCUCCUUGACAACAUUGGAUUCAUCAACAUUACCUUCUGAUGGCUUAGAAAUUUGAUCAGAUUCCUUCAACUCUUCCUUACACACAUCAUUUGUCUCCUUUCUAGUUGCCUCACCAAUGUCAUUUUUAUCUUCUGGUUUACCUGAACUUGUUAUCCCACUCUCAACUUCACUUGUUAUCACAGUAGACGGGAUACUGGACUCAGUGGGUGGAACCAAGCGGAUUGCUGCAAAGGGGUUAGCUGAAGGUGUAGCUGUAGAUGAAGUAGUUUGACUGCGACGAACUUUGACAAUUCUUCUACUUGCCAUCACCUCCUCACUUGCUUUCUUGAAAGACCCAGUCUCUAGCUCAGCUUCAUUUUCAUCAUCAUCGAGACCAGGAUUGUCUCGUGAUAAUUCCUUUAUAGCUGCCCUUUUCUUUGAUGGUUGAAGAGAGUUCUCGGCAUCUCCCAUUGGAAAAUGAGGGAAGAUACUUGAAGAGUUUUCAAGAAGAUAUGUUAUCACUGAGAGGAUUCAAAUUUGGUGGAGUUAUGAAAACUGAA
rnacentral:misc_RNA from 1 species